UUAAUUAUAGGAAUUAUAGGGCCACAGUUCAGGUACAUAAACUCCUAAAGCCAAUAGAGAAAGGUAGAAACACAAAUGUGAAAUGUUAAUGUUUUGGUUCUGAGGUGUUGGCUCUUGUCCCCAUAUGGUGUAGUUUCAUCAGACAACAAUUCUUAUUAACUGACUUUGGUCUAGCAUUAGUUGGUACCACAAAAGUAAUUUAGCUAAGGCUUCAAAAUUGGAUGUUGUGUUUUCCUCUUCCAGUGCAGAGCCAAUAAGAUGAAAAGGUUGAUUUUAAUCUCAGUUAUGCAUCUCCCGUGUCUCUUUUAUGCUCAUUGUUGCUACAUGCUUGCUUCAGAGAGGACUAUGUUAGUUUACUUCCCACUGAUGUUGUAUAUAGUUGCAUGUUUUCUUAGACUAUUUUAUUUGACCUACAGAAAUGUUCCCUUGCUUUGGUUGGAUGGGUGUAGGAGCAGCAAGCAUCGCCGCCACCCGGAAAACUCCAGUAACUUCUUGCCCCUUCCAGCCUCGGUGAGAUGGCAUCGUAUUUUUUGUAUGUGUACAUUUCUGCUUGUGGUGGCAUUUUUGCAAUCCUUUACUUUGGGUUUUGAUUUUUUUUCAUUUCAUGGUUGUUGUCGCAGGAUCAUGAACGACUUCAAGCUGAAGAUGUUGAACCAUGCGAUGCAAGAAUUAUUAUUUUGGGCUCCUAUGGAAGACUCAUGUAAUUGCUGUCAAGAACACUGUCAGUUCAGCGGUUGUCAUCAUGCAAGCAAUUGGCCGCUGAUCUGCUUGCUCUUUGUACUACUAAAGGCAGUGUUUUUUCCCUCCCAGUAAAUUACACUAUUUUCAGGUGGCAUCAUACGGUGAAGCAGGGGAUAUGGAUCAGAAGCCGCAAUGGUGCGCGUGACGACAUGUCUAACACUUGCCUGACCCUGGACUCUGGCUUCUUCUUACAAGUUGACCAUACUAUUGUGAGAAUCUCGGCCAGGAUCAUUCUUUAUAUCAUGUUGGAUCAUCUUGGAAUUUGUAGAGUAAUUUAUCGUCUAAGGAUGUACUCACAGAACACAAUCAGUGUGGUUGUGCUUUUCUACACUUCUGUCCAGAGCAAUGGGAUAUGUAUUCUGUACUGUACGGCUACCCUCUAAUGCAUUUCUCAGACUUCAGUCU